rfam:Schistosoma curassoni strain Dakar, Senegal genome assembly, scaffold: SCTD_scaffold0000030
AUUCAACUGACGAGUCCCAAAUGGGACGAAACUCGCGUCCUAGAU